rnacentral:rRNA from 1 species
AUUGAACGCUGGCGGCAGGCCUAACACAUGCAAGUCGAACGAGUGGCGGACGGGAGAGCAAUGACUGGGCAUCUGACUGAGGGAGGGGGAUAACUACUGGAAACGGAAGCCAAUACCGCAUACCAUCAGAUGUGCCCAGAUGGGAUUAUCUAGUUGGUGUGGCAGUGGCUUACCAAGGCGACGAUCCCUAGCUGGUCUGAGAGGAUGACCAGCCACACUGGAACUGAGACACGGUCCAGACUCCUACGGGAGGCAGCAGUGGGGAAUAUUGCACAAUGGGCGCAAGCCUGAUGCAGCCAUGCCGCGUGUAUGAAGAAGGCCUUCGGGUUGUAAAGUACUUUCAGCGGGGAGGCGUUACCCGCAGAAGAAGCACCGGCUAACUCCGUGCCAGCAGCCGCGGUAAUAC